rnacentral:rRNA from 1 species
UGGGCGUAAGAGCUCGUAGGAAGGUUUGUCACGUCUGCUGUGAAAACUGGAGGCUCAACAACCAGACUGCAGUGGGUACGGGCAGACUAGAGUGCGGUACUUGGAGAUUGGAAUUCCUGGUGUAGCGGUGGAAUGCGCAGAUAUCAGGAGGAACACCGAUGGCGAAGGCAGAUCUCUGGGCCGUAACUGACGCUGAGGAGCGAAAGCGUGGGGAGCGAACAGGAUUAGAUACCCUGGUAGUCCACGCCGUAAACGGUGGGCGCUAGAUGUGGGGACCAUUCCACGGUUUCCGUGUCGCAGCUAACGCAUUAAGCGCCCCGCCUGGGGAGUACGGCCGCAAGGCUAAAACUCAAAGGAAUUGACGGGGGCCCGCACAAGCGGCGGAGCAUGCGGAUUAAUUCGAUGCAACGCGAAGAACCUUACCAAGGCUUGACAUACACGAGAACGGGCCAGAAAUGGUCAACUCUUUGGACACUCGUGAACAGGUGGUGCAUGGUUGUCGUCAGCUCGUGUCGUGUGAUGUUGGGUUAAGUUCCGCAACG